rnacentral:rRNA from 1 species
GACGAACGCUGGCGGCGUGCUUAACACAUGCAAGUCGAACGAGAAGAGAUGAGAAGCUUGCUUCUUAUUGAUUCGAGUGGCAAACGGGUGAGUAACGCGUAAGCAACCUGCCCUUCAGAUGGGGACAACAGCUGGAAACGGCUGCUAAUACCGAAUACGUUCUUUUGUCGCAUGGCAGAGGGAAGAAAGGGAGGCUCUUCGGAGCUUUCGCUGAAGGAGGGGCUUGCGUCUGAUUAGCUAGUUGNGGGUAAGGCCACCAAGGCGACGAUCAGUAGCCGGUCUGAGAGGAUGAACGGCCACAUUGGGACUGAGACACGGCCCAGACUCCUACGGGAGGCAGCAGUGGGAAUCUUCCGCAAUGGACGAAAGUCUGACGGAGCAA